AGGAAGUUGUGUUGCAUUAGGCACGGGAAAGGACUGUUAGGGCCCUAGCACAGAGUAAGGUCCUCAACUUUUGGUCGAAUGAAGGGAAGCACAAGUCUGAAUACAUUAUUGUGUCCAAGACGAAAAAAAUCCCUGAUGGUAUCAAGAAUUUGGCAACUCCAUUUUAAGUUAUUGGACAAAUUAGAAGCUAAGCCUGAAGGAAAGACUGAAAAAAAUGAGCUGGAUUCAGUGAAGAAUAUUUGGUGCUUUCUAUUAGCCUUCUGCAAGCAAAGACUACAAAUUCAGCACACCAGUGAUACUUUCUGAUUGCUGUGCUACUGGAAUUAGCCUACUGUGUUUUAAUUCUGAUGAGUGACAUAGCCUAGCUUUUUAGAUAUCCUUCUGCUCCGCUAACCUAGGAGUCUGGGUUAAUAAUAAUGUUUUACAAACACCAUUCCAUAAAGUUUAAUUCUUUAAGUUUUCAAAUAUUUUUCAAUAUGUAAAC